rnacentral:rRNA from 1 species
CCUACGGGAGGCAGCAGUGGGGAAUAUUGGGCAAUGGGCGCAAGCCUGACCCAGCAACGCCGCGUGAAGGAAGAAGGCUUUCGGGUUGUAAACCUCUUUUCUCAGGGACGAAGAAAGUGACGGUACCUGAGGAAUAAGCCACGGCUAAAUACGUGCCAGCAGCCGCGGGAAUACGUAGGUGGCAAGCGUUAUCCGGAUUUAAUGGGUGUAAAGGGCGUGUAGGCGGGAAAGCAAGUCAGAUGUGAAAACCACGGGCUCAACCUGUGGCCUGCAUUUGAAACUGUUUUUCUUGAGUACUGGAGAGGCAGGCGGAAUUCCUAGUGUAGCGGUGAAAUGCGUAGAUAUUAGGAGGAACACCAGUGGCGAAGGCGGUCUGCUGGACAGCAACUGACGCUGAGGCGCGAAAGCGUGGGGAGCGAACAGGAUUAGAUACCCCUGUAGUC